UCAAUACAUAUUGCGGCAGAAGCCCUACCUCCCCAACCCACGCCAGCACUCCCACCCCAACCGCCAGCCCCACAACCACAGCCGGCUCCUCAUCAACCAAGGCAACGGAGGCGUGCUAGGCCACCAAUUUUCAGAACCCGUGUCAGACUUUUUGGGAUGCCAGAUGAUGUGGUGGUGCGUAGAUACCGGCUGCCACCACAUCUAAUCCUAGACACUCUCUCCAUAAUAGAGAGUGAUCUGGAGUCUGAAAUUCGGUAUCCUACAGCAAUACCACCAUUGACACAAUUCCUUGCAGUGUUACAUUUUUUGGCCACAGGAUCAUUCCAGCAUGUGGUUGGAGACCUGGUUGGCAUGUCGCAGGGCCAGUUCAGUAAGGUCCUGCGACGUGUCUGCCAGGCUUUCCUCAAGCGUGUUAAGCAAUUUAUUGCUAUGCCUUUGGAUGUUGGUGCCCUAGAUGUGGUGAAGCGGCAAUUUGCGGAAGGUGGUAGUCGCUUCCCACAUGUUAUUGGGGUUGUGGAUGGCACACAUGUAGCUAUUCAGCCACCAAAACAUAAUGAAGAAAUUUAUAGAAACAGGAAACUGUUUCAUUCUCUGAAUGUAAUGGUUGUUUGUGGGCCAUCCCUCCAGAUCCUUUCCCUGAACGCAAAGUUUACUGGAAGUUCCCAUGAUGCGUAUGUCAUUAGACAAUCAGGGAUAUGGCAGAGAUUAAGAUCAAGUCAACGACCAGACAUGUGGUUAUUGGGAGACCGUGGAUAUCCUUGCACCCCCUGGCUCAUGACUCCUUACCGUAAUCCCAGGCCAGGACCACAGAUGGCAUUUAACUCCGCGCUUACUGCCACUAGGCAGCUGGUGGAGCGCACAAUUGGUGUCCUGAAAGGGCGGUUUCGUGUGCUCCACCGCACUGGUGGCGACAUCAUGUAUUCGCCGGAGAUGGCAAGUAAAAUAGUGGUCCUGUGCGCAAUACUCCAUAAUAUCGCGGUAAGGAGUAGUGUAGAGCUUCCUCAGGCAGAGGAAUUGCCUGAUGAGGAGCCAGGGGUUGUGCCACGCUUCGGUGGGGGGAGUGUGACACGGAGGGGGAGCCAAGUGAGGGCAAGAAUUGUAGCAGAAUAUUUCAGGUAUAGUGUUUAUAUAUUUUAUAUUUGCCCAAAUAAUACAACACAGUAUGCUUCUGUUUUAUAAACCAUGAUUUCAAUUUGUAUGAUCUUGUAAAGUGAUUGGGUACGGAUUUUGUGGUGUUGGAAUGUGUAAUUGUUUUUGGUUCAAAAUACAAAAACACGUUAAGCUUACAAUGUUUAUUUUGAAAUUUAAAUACUGUAAUGUUGCUAAAUAGUGUCCUUAUUUGUUUUAUAUCAUCAAAUCCUGAUUAUGUAACCAAACACACAAACAAAUGAUACUCAAUGUUUCACACUUUGUGACUGUCCAGCUGAAUGAUCACACGAACUGUGGACAACAACAACGGCAAAACUCCCCACCCCCUUCCCCUUCUCACUCCCCCUCCCCUUCUCACUCCCCCUCCCCUUCUCACUCCCCCUCCCCUUCUCACU